AUGCCUCAGCUGGCCAAUGAGCUGACGAAGGAACUAAAGGCCCUGGAAUUAUCCAAGGCGCAGAUCGGAGACGGGGGGCACCCUCCGUGUCCCAUCAUCAUCGCCAAGGUCGGCGACCUCACACGCAACGUCGACAGCAGCGAGUACGACCCUAACCACGUCGCCAUCGGCCCGUACAACUACCCUCGGCCACAGAGCAAGAACCUGCACCUCGCCAUGGAGAAUGACAAGCUCGCCAGCCUCCAACUGGUGCUCACGGCGGCGAAGGUGGAGAGACCCGGCGUGACGGUGGACAUCUACAUAAAUGAGCUCACAUGCCUCGAGAAGUCUGUGAGGAAAUGCUACGCCAACAUGUUUGAUGACAUGACGGGCGACCAGUUCGUGCGCAUGCUCCUCCUUGACGGCUGCUACAUAAUCUCCCGCCUAGUCGGCCUCCCACACCGAGCAUGCACACAAUCCGCAGGCGUUGCACCGGGGACUGCAGAAGCCGGUGUCCCGUCGGCAAACCGGGUCGAGGCGCUGGCGGUGGUCCGGGAUGUUUUCUUCCUUGCAGAGAACCAGAUACCGUUCUUCGUGCUCGAGAAGAUCGGAGAGCUGACAACUAUGGAUGGUAAGGAUCGUGUGAUUAAGGAGAUUGCAGAGUACGCCCUCAUUCUCAUGAGUCUGCAGAAGUACAUAGUGGGAUCGCCGGCCAUGGUGGUGCCGGAGCUGAUGGUGCCUGGCAAUCUUCUCCAUCUUCUUCAUAUGCACUUGCUGAAGCCUCUUGCAACCUCCGUCUCGCCUACUGCAACAGUCAACGGAGCCAAUCCCGUAUCUGUGCGCCGAUGGCGCUCGGCGACGGAGUAUAGCUUCGCAGGGGUGAAGUUCAAGCGUCGGUCCAUGAGCGAGCCGGGGCUCCUACGUUGCAUUCUUGACGUGGAGCUGGUCGGCGGCGGCACACUGGAGGUCCCCGAGCUGGACAUCGACGGCGAGACGUGGCGACUAUUGCGCAACCUGAUGGAGCUUGAGCAGCGGAACCGGGAGACGGUGGGGAGCCACGUCACUGCAUACUGCGUGUUCAUGUCACAGGUGGCCUGCACCACCAAGGACGUGGAGCUGCUGUGGAAGAAGGGCAUCAUCGUGCACAGCCACGGCAACAAUGACGAGGUGGCCAAAUGCUUUGCCGACCUCUGCAAGGGGAUCCAGUUUGACCCUAACGACCCCGGUUGCAAUUACCUGCGGGAGACAUGCUCGAAGCUGGAGAAGCGGUCUCAGAGUUACUGGCGGAGGUGGAUGGCGUGGCUGAGGCGGAAGUACUUCAGCAACCCUUGGCUCGCCGUCGGGCUCCUGGCUGCUGCCAUUGGCCUAGUUUGCACUGUCGUCCAGGCAGUGUACUCGGCUUUGAGUUACAAACAUGGAGGAAACUAA
rnacentral:rRNA from 1 species